GUACGGACAAGGGGAAUCCGACUGUUUAAUUAAAACAAAGCAUUGUCGAUUAAGACAGCAGGACGGUGGUCAUGGAAGUCGAAAUCCGCUAAGGAGUGUGUAACAACUCACCUGCCGAAUCAACUAGCCCCGAAAAUGGAUGGCGCUGAAGCGCGCGACCCACACCCGGCCAUCUGGGCGAGCGCCAUGCCCCGAUG
rnacentral:rRNA from 16 species